rnacentral:rRNA from 1 species
GACGAACGCUGGCGGCGUGCUUAACACAUGCAAGUCGAGCGGUAAGGCCCUUUCGGGGGUACACGAGCGGCGAACGGGUGAGUAACACGUGAGUAACCUGCCCUCCACAUUGGGAUAACCCCGGGAACCGGGGCUAAUACCGAAUACCCACCACUACGGGGCGAUCCCGGGUGGAUGGAAAGCUCCGGCGGUGGAGGAUGGACUCGCGGCCUAUCAGCUUGUUGGUGAAGUAACGGCUCACCAAGGCGACGACGGGUAGCCGGCCUGAGAGGGUGACCGGCCACACUGGGACUGAGACACGGCCCAGACUCCUACGGGAGGCAGCAGUGGGGAAUAUUGGACAAUGGGCGAAAGCCUGAUCCAGCAACGCCGCGUGAGGGAUGACGGCCU